rnacentral:lncRNA from 1 species
AAAAGUGAACGAUUUUGAUCAACAUCUUAUGCAAGUAUGUGACCAAAAAAUAAUCAAUUUCAUAUUAAAAUUGAGACAUCCAACUUUAGCAAAUCCGAAUUCUAACAAUUUUACCUCUUCUUGCAUAGAGAUAAUUGAAAUUGCCUUGUCAAGACUCGAGACUCAUCAGUUACACAAGGGGUUAAAUAUUACUAAUACUAUCUUCAAAAUAGAGAAUAAUCCUAAAUAUUUCUAUCUUUAGUCUACCAAAAUUUAAAAAAUAAAUUGAAUCUUUAUUUGGAAGCCCCAUUCAAAAUGUAUAGAUCAUUCUCAAUCUAUUUUCACUAAAAAAUAUUCACUGUAUCUUUGAAAUGAGAGAUACUUUUGAUAGGUUUAAUAAAUAAUUAAAAAUAAAUUUUAAAAAUAAAAAUUUGAAGAAUAGUAAGAAAUAGCUAAGUUUAUAGAGAGAUGAGUGAGUUUUUUAAAAUUUAAAGAUAAAAAUAAUAUUAUUUAAAAUUGUUAAUUUUGAGAAUAUUAACUUAGCAAAUACUAAACCCUAGUUUUGAAGUAAAAUGUUUUUUGCCUUUUAUUUUUGGCCAAUUUAUUUUACUUUUCCAAUUCAUAUUGAAUGGAAGUACCGAAAAAGUAAAAAUAAUAAUAUUUUUUUAAAAAUAAAUUCACUAAAUUCUAAAUUAAUUAAAAAUAAAAUUAAAUUGUUCAAAAAAAUUUAUUCUUUUAUAUAUAUUUUAAAAAUAUUUAUACACUUUUCACGCAAUCUCAUACGGUUAACUUAUAAGGUAGUGAUUAUCAUUUAUAUCACUUUAUCUAACAUAACUGACAGGAGAGUGCAUUGUAAUUUCAGAAACUAAGUAGAAAAUCUCCGUGUUUGUAAUUAUUAUUUUAUAUCAUUUUUUAUCCGAUUGACAGAACAGUGCACUGUAAUUUCAGGAACUAGUGGAGAAAAUCUGUGUUUGUGAGUAACUACAAAGGAGUUAUGUGUAAUUUGACCAAAUAUAUUUUUAUAUGAACCCAAAAGUAAAGGCAAAGAAAAGAUUAUUCGCGCACUAUGGCAUAGUUCAAUUGGCAAAACACCUGAUAGAUUGCUU